GUCCUUGUAGCGUAAUGGAUAGCGCGUUGGAUUUCUAAUCCAAAGAGUGUGGCUUCGAAUCCCACCUGGGAUG